rnacentral:rRNA from 1 species
GAGUUUGAUCAUGGCUCAGAUUGAACGCUGGCGGCAUGCCUUACACAUGCAAGUCGAACGGCAGCACGGGAGCUUGCUCCUGGUGGCGAGUGGCGAACGGGUGAGUAAUGCAUCGGAACGUAUCCUGGAGUGGGAGAUAACGUAGCGAAAGUUACGCUAAUACCGCAUAUUCUGUGAGCAGGAAAGCGGGGGACCUUCGGGCCUCGCGCUCUUGGAGCGGCCGAUGUCGGAUUAGCUAGUUGGUGAGGUAAAGGCUCACCAAGGCGACGAUCCGUAGCAGGUCUGAGAGGAUGAUCUGCCACACUGGAACUGAGACACGGUCCAGACUCCUACGGGAGGCAGCAGUGGGGAAUUUUGGACAAUGGGGGCAACCCUGAUCCAGCCAUGCCGCGUGAGUGAAGAAGGCCUCGGUUGUAA